UUUAAACCACAUUAAUUUGUCAUGCAACCUAAAUACAUAUAUACAAUCAAAUUAGUCUCAUACAAUCAAACUGUGUGGUUAGUGAGGCUCCAGAUAUAUAUCCACGUUGAUGUCUUCUACUGUCUGGGCACUGAACCCAACUAUAAGACUCAUUCAACAACAAAUAAUAGAUAUGUUCAUUGCCGUUAACACGUAUCUAAAUUUAUCCAUAUAGGUAAUUUGUGUUGGUUAAGUCAAGAGUAGAAAAGUGGGUUGAUGAAUCGGACGUGGCGUAAGGAAGAACGUGAGGGAUCAUGUAUACAUAUAAGUUAUAACCACAACAGACACGCCAAUUCAGGCACGCCAAUUCAGGACAGCUAAGUGUUGUCCCAUUAUUCCACCUGACUAAUUCUCUCACUGUCUCCUGCUCCUUUGUCCCUACACACACUCUUAUUUUUGUUUUCUUUCUUUCUUUCUUGAUAGGUUAAAUUCUAUAAAUACGACAAAAUCACAUCUUCUACAUUUGGGGUUUAGUUUUUACUUUACUUCUCUAUUCUCUUUUCACAAAUAGUGUCACUUUUAACGUUUUUCAUAUAAGAUACAAAUUCAAUUUUAUCUCUCCCCUGUUUAAUGUUUCAGUUGAAGCCAAACUCGUAAACCUAUUUUCCAAUUUGUCGACAGAAAGAUCGUCUUUCAUAUUUAUUUCUAUUUGUCGUUGUUUCUUGAAAUAUCUUUUUUUGUAACUUUCUUGAAAUAUCUUACAAAAUCUUUGAAACAA
rnacentral:lncRNA from 1 species